AUUAGACAACAUGCAUGAUAAAGACUAGUUCUUGGAUUUGAGUUUAAUUUAAAAAUUCACUUGCUUCUGAGUGUCUGACGACUCCGUUUGCUUUUUACGUGUGGGUAAUAAUAUAAGGGAGCAUAGAAGCUAAUUUAUUUUAUUAUUUCUUCUGUUAUAUUUUUUCGUAAGUUCAUUCCUAAUAUACACGAAUUAAAAAAAAGUUUAUAAAAAGAAAUCUACUAAUCUACCAUUUUGGUCAGUCAUUUUAUAUUAUAUACUCACAAGCAGCAAAAACAUGCUCCUUCCCAAAGCUGAUCUACACCACCUAAAUCUUGUGUUUUGGUGGUGGAGUCCAACAUCUUAGUACUCGGACUUUGAUUUGGCGGAGCUGGGACCAGAUCUGGUACAGAAACGAUGAGUGGUUUGAUGGCGAUGGGAAAAAAGACGACGACGUGCGGCAGCGAUGAAUGUAUUGUUUGGAAGUUACCGAUUUUGGAUAUUCUUGGGUAUCAUGUUUGUGGUUUUUUGUUGCAUUUUUUUGUCAGAUGGAAACUGCUUUUGUUUUGGGUGCAGGUGUUGGGUGAUGGCGGAGUCAUCGGGUUUUUGGAGGUGGCCGGCAAUUGGAUGUCAAAGCGGCGAUCAAUUUGAGUUAUUAGGCAUGUAUGUGUAGGGACGGAUGGCAUUGUGUGUAAUCCCAUAGCCGGCGCUAAUAGUGUAACGAUGAUAAUUGCAACCGUCGAGGUAUAUGGUUAUUCUUUUAAUUGGGUGUUUUGCUGUUGGUGGCCAUGUGGAAGGCAAAAACUUUGGCCAGAAUUAUGGGUUCUUUCACCAAUGGUACCACUCCAAUUGCUGAGUCGUGGAGCGAUAUUACAUAACACUGAUAGCGAUUGCUUCUAUCAACUACGUAGGCGACCAGCAAUGAGAAACAAAUCCCAUUACCUGGCUUUAUGAACUGUAGUACUAAAAGAGUAACUCUACGACCCCUUACCAAAUCUAAUAUUUAUUAUGAUAACUUGACACGUAUUAAGUAAUUUUCACAAUUUGUUAUCAUUCAAUUGUUUCAUUAGUAUACUCCAAUAUCUCAUAUAAAUAAAAAAUUUAUCAAAGCUUAUUCGUUAGCUUAAGUUAUGCCCAAAAUAGUAUUGAUCAAUCUCACUAAAAUGCAAUUUACGACCAACCAAGGUAUAUCAAAGACAUGCAUGCAAUUAUAAUUGGAUAUUCACGCAAUAUUUGAGUGUAGAACAAUCAUUCAAAAGUUGUGAGUUACGAUAAAUGAACAUGAUUAGAUUAGUUUCUGGUGGGACCCAAUCAUUUUAUAUUUUUUUGUUUUAAUUUGGUAAUGAGAUAAUGCCAUAUGAUAAGUCUCUAGAUGAGAGAAAUAUUGAAUGUCACAAGAGAGGUGGGCAUAAAUUAGGGUAUUAAAAAAGGAGUCAGCUUUUAUGAAGUUGGCUUUUUGGCUUGAAAGCUGUUGUUGCAAGUAUUUUGAAAUUAUUUUGAUAAUUUAAAUUAUUGAUAUUGUAGAUAUGGGCGGAGUCAUUAUAGGGCAAGUGGGGCUAAUUGACUCCACUUGAAAAAAAAUUAUAUUAUUAUUGUUAAUAUAAUUUAUCAUAAAUAUAAUUUUAAACUCACAAAAAAAUAAUAAUUUGUCCUAAAUUCUAUAAUUUUAACCCGCUGAACAUAAGUUUUGACAAUUUUAAAUCCGUUGAAUCUAAGUUCUGGCUCCGUAUCUGAUUGUAGAGCUCAUCAAAAAAUUUAAUAUUGUAAAAAAUCAUGUUGAUCAAAUACAAAUAAAUAGUCGAUCAAUAUUAAUUUAUAUCAAGAUAAAUAAAUAUAAUUGUGUGUGUCAUACACAUUUAUUAAGUUAUAAAAUUGUACUGAUCGAUUAUUAGUUUGUGCCGAUCAACGUAGCUUUUUAAAAUAUUAAACUUAUCGAUGAGAUUUACAACAGAAGUUGAACGUUAAAGGUGGGGGUGGAGGUGGAAGGCAGUGUACGUCUUGGCUCCUUUUGUUUUUUUCCUCUUCCUUUCUCUUAAAAAUUUGAAGAUUAAAGGAGCAUAUUUUAGUAAUUUUAAAAAAUGGUGUUGGCUGAUGAGGAUAUCAAAUGUAAUUUUAAAAAAUAAAGUUGGUGUAGUGUGAUUUUAGAUUAAUACAGGGGAUGUCACUGAAAUUUGUCCAAAAAUAUGUUGGUGUAGUGUGAUUUGGAGAUGAGUGGAAACAACCGUUGCAAACCAAUGGCCAGGAGCCUUUUUCGGGGGAAUUUUUCCAGCCAAUACCAAGCUGAAAAAUGGGUUUGCUUGGAUGUCGUUUCAAUGGUUUAGGAGACGUUUUGGGGAUUGACUGGUGUGAUGUGAGUUUAUUGGUGGUUUUUAUUUUUCUAUAUUUAAGUUUUAUUUCAAAAAAGGGUAUUUUCGGCAUUGAAAAGUAUCCAAACGGCAAUUUAUUUCCAUAGAAAAAUAGUAUUUCUGGUAUUGAACAAGUAGAAAACACCCAUGAUAUAGGUCAUUUCAUGUUUGGAAAU
rnacentral:lncRNA from 1 species